AUUGAACGCUGGCGGCAGGCCUAACACAUGCAAGUCGAACGAGUGGCGGACGGGUGAGUAAUGUCUGGGAAACUGACUGAUGGAGGGGGAUAACUACUGGAAACGGUAGCUAAUACCGCAUACCAUCGGAUGUGCCCAGAUGGGAUUAGCUAGUAGGUGGGGUAAAGGCUCACCUAGGCGACGAUCCCUAGCUGGUCUGAGAGGAUGACCAGCCACACUGUGACUGAGACACGGUCCAGACUCCUACGGGAGGCAGAAGUGGGGAAUAUUGCACAAUGGGCGCAAGCCUGAUGCAGCCAUGCCGCGGGUAUGAAGAAGGCCGUCGGGUUGUAAAGUACUUUCAGCGGGGAGGCGUUACCCGCAGAAGAAGCACCGGCUAACUCCGUGCCAGCAGCCGCGGUAAUAC
rnacentral:rRNA from 1 species